UGAGUAACGCGUGGAUAACCUGCCUCACACUGGGGGAUAACAGUUAGAAAUGGCUGCUAAUACCGCAUAAGCGCACAGUACCGCAUGGUACGGUGUGAAAAACCCAGGUGGUGUGAGAUGGAUCCGCGUCUGAUUAGCCAGUUGGCGGGGUAACGGCCCACCAAAGCGACGAUCAGUAGCCGACCUGAGAGGGUGACCGGCCACAUUGGGACUGAGACACGGCCCAAACUCCUACGGGAGGCAGCAUG
rnacentral:rRNA from 1 species